rnacentral:rRNA from 1 species
GUGGGGAAUAUUGGACAAUGGGCGCAAGCCUGAUCCAGCCAUGCCGCGUGAGUGAUGAAGGCCUUAGGGUUGUAAAGCUCUUUCGUCAGGGAAGAUAAUGACGGUACCUGAAGAAGAAGCCCCGGCUAACUUCGUGCCAGCAGCCGCGGUAAUACGAAGGGGGCUAGCGUUGCUCGGAAUCACUGGGCGUAAAGUGCACGUAGGCGGCUUUCUAAGUCAGGGGUGAAAUCCUGGAGCUCAACUCCAGAACUGCCUUUGAUACUGGAGAGCUUGAGUUCGGGAGAGGUGAGUGGAACUGCGAGUGUAGAGGUGAAAUUCGUAGAUAUUCGCAAGAACACCAGUGGCGAAGGCGGCUCACUGGCCCGAUACUGACGCUGAGGUGCGAAAGCGUGGGGAGCAAACAGGAUUAGAUACCCUAGUAGUCC